rnacentral:lncRNA from 1 species
AUGUUAGGCCCCACAAUAUCCAUCACCAUUCUCCGCAGCCAGCCCGCCCAACCGGGCAUACAAUGUUGGAAUAAACAGGGCGUUCUUUCUGCAUCUUCUACCCCAAUCCCGUACUCCCUGGCAACUGUUUCCCUCCACCGAAGAGACUGGGAUUGCCAUUCCUCUGCCCUUCCUAUUCAGAAAUUCCGAAGUGGUGCCGACUGCCCUCCCCGCCUUGCUCGCAUGGAGGCACUCGUUAACGAGGCCUGGCUCGGAGGCCCAAAGGCGCGCCACGUCCUCCGCCACGCCCCGCCCAGCCCCGGCCGGGUCAGCCGAGCCCCCGGGGCCGCCCCGCGGCGCCGAGCCAGGGAAAGCCGCCUCGCUCGCCCGCCUCCGCGCCGCAGCCCUAGUCGGGAUCUCCAAGCGCGUCCCGCAGGCCUCUGUUGAAAACAAACUUCUUAGCAACAAAAGCUACAAGACUGGAAUUGCAGAAAGAAGAUGGUGAUGAGAAAGAAUUCUGAAAUCAGGUGAUUAAACACUGAAUUAGGUGUUUGGGAUUGAUAUGAAAGGAUUUUCCAAUCUUGAGA